rnacentral:rRNA from 1 species
CAGAGGUGAAAUCCUGCAGCUUAACUGUAGAAUUGCCUUUGAUACUGGUUGUCUUGAGUUAUUAUGAAGUGGUUAGAAUAUGUAGUGUAGCGGUGAAAUGCAUAGAUAUUACAUAGAAUACCAAUUGCGAAGGCAGAUCACUAAUAAUAUACUGACACUGAUGGACGAAAGCGUGGGGAGCGAACAGGAUUAGAUACCCUGGUAG